GCGUAGGUGGUUUAAUAAGCGAAUAGUGAAAUCUGGUGGCUCAACCAUUCAGACUAUUAUUCGAACUGUUGGACUCGAGAGCAGAAGAGGUAGCUGGAAUUUCUAGUGUAGGAGUGAAAUCCGUAGAUAUUAGAAGGAACACCGAUGGCGUAGGCAGGCUACUGGGCUGUUUCUGACACUGAGGCACGAAAGCGUGGGGAGCGAACCGGAUUAGAUACCCGGGUAGUCCACGCCGUAAACGAUGGAUACUAGCUGUUUGGGGUAUCGACCCCCUGAGUAGCGAAGCUAACGCGUUAAGUAUCCCGCCUGUGGAGUACGAUCGCAAGAUUAAAACAUAAAGGAAUUGACGGGGACCCGCACAAGCGGUGGAUCAUGUUCUUUAAUUCGAUGAUAACCGAUAAACCUUACCAGGUCUUGACAUCCUUGGAAUCUUUCAGAAAUGAGAGAGUGCUUUUUAAGAGCCAAGUGACAGGUGAUGCAUGGCCGUCGUCAGCUCGUGUCGUGAG
rnacentral:rRNA from 1 species